rnacentral:tRNA from 1 species
AGAGAGGUGGCCGAGUGGCUUAAGGCACACGCUUGGAAAGCGUGUAUACGGCAACGUAUCGAGGGUUCGAAUCCCUUCCUCUCUG